GGCGCGGUGGCCUAGUGGCUAGCACACCUGCCCUGCACCAGGGGGAGUGGGGUUCGAAUCCUGCCCCUGCUCCG